GUCCUCACUUCAACAACACAUAAAUUAAAAUUGAAAUGAUACAGAGAAGAUUAGCAUGGCCCCUGCACAAGGAUGACAUGCGAAUUUGUGAAGUGUUUCAUAUUUUU
ensembl:snRNA U6 U6 spliceosomal RNA